rnacentral:lncRNA from 1 species
GUUUGACGUCACGUGAAUCGUAAGCGUUACUACACCCGCCACCAGUUUCUCUCCGUCUCAACAAUUUCUCUGUUCAUAUCAACAAAAAAACUGGAGCAUGUCUUUGACAAUUCCGGGACGUAUUGAACCUAUUUGGCACAAGGCCCGAAAUUUUGGGGGAAU